ensembl:lncRNA novel transcript, antisense to HIF3A
GUUCUCCCCAGAACCUGGAAACACAGAUAUGACCCCCCCAACCCUCCUCACCCCUGAUUCCCCAAAAUAAAGCCAAGAGAGGCAGAGAAAGGGAUAAUGAGGUAACCAAGUAUUGAGAACCCCAAGAGAAAUCCUGAGAGAAGGAGGAGGGGGCCAGGGACCACCUCCCAGAGGUCACUGAGCUGAGACCACCCCAGAGAGCCCCCAGAUUGGGAGCAGGCAGAGGGGUGAGGGCUGAGGUAGGCCCGAGGUGGGAGUCAGGGAGGGUCCUUGGCUCCAGCCCAGAAAGCCUGUUCAGGUGAUGUCCUAUUACAGAAGGCAAUGGCGCCCAGGGGCUUGGAGGGCAUUUUGCAGAAAAUAAUUGCCCACAUUUAUUUGUCUCCUAUAAGGGUUUCAUUUCUGUUGACUGCUUUUUAUUCUGACAGCAUUUUAUUUUUUUAAGACAAGGUCUCACUCUGUCGCCCAGGCUGGA